UCUUAUCAAGAGAAGCGGAGGGAACUGUGCCCGUAGAUGCUUCAGCAACCUCUAGUACAACUAGAAAGGUGCUACUUCCAGCAAGGCAAUGACCUUGGCAGAUAAGA
rnacentral:ncRNA from 1 species